AAAAGUAUUCCCGCAUUAUACUGGUGGGCGACCUAGAACUUAAAAGUAUUCCCGCAUUAUACUGGUGGGCGACCUAGAACUUAAAUGUAUUCCCGCAUUAUACUGGUGGGCGACCUAGAACUUAAAAGUAUUCCCGCAUUAUACUGGUGGGCGACCUAGAACUUAAAGGUAUUCCCGCAUUAUACUGGUGGGCGACCUAGAACUUAAAAGUAUUCCCGCAUUAUACUGGUGGGCGACCUAGAACUUAAAAGUAUUCCCACAUUAUACUGAGGGCGACCUAGAACUUAAAGGUAUU
rnacentral:lncRNA from 1 species